CGCGGCCUAUCAGCUUGUUGGUGAGGUAAUGGCUCACCAAGGCAUCGACGGGUAGCUGGUCUGAGAGGACGAUCAGCCACACUCGGACUGAGACACGGCCCAGACUCCUACGGGAGGCAGCAGUAGGGAAUCUUGCACAAUGGGCGAAAGCCCGAUGCAGCGACGCCGCGUGGGGGAUGAAGGCCUUCGGGUUGUAAACCCCUUUCAGUAGGGACGAAAAUGACGGUACCUACAGAAGAAGCUCCGGCCAACUACGUGCCAGCAGCCGCGGUAACACGUAGGGAGCAAGCGUUGUCCGGAUUUAUUGGGCGUAGAGAACUCGUAGGUGGUUCGGUAAGUCGGAUGUGAAAACUCAAGGCUCAACCUUGAGACGCCAUCCGAUACUGCUGUGACUUGAGUUCGGUAGAGGAGUGUGGAAUCCCUGGUGUAGCGGUGAAAUGCGCAGAUAUCAGGAGGAACACCGACAGCGAAGGCAGCACUCUGGGCCGAUACUGACACUGAGGAGCGAAAGCAUGGGGAGCGAACAGGAUUAGAUACCCUGGUAGUCCAUGCCGUAAACGUUGGGCACUAGGUGUGGGUCCCAACCAACGUGAUCCGCGCCGUCGCUAACGCAUUAAGUGCCCCGCCUGGGGAGUACGG
rnacentral:rRNA from 1 species